rnacentral:rRNA from 1 species
GACGAACGCUGGCGGCGUGCUUAACACAUGCAAGUCGAACGGAAAGGCCUCUUUCGGGGGGUACUCGAGUGGCGAACGGGUGAGUAACACGUGAGUAACCUGCCCUUGACUUUGGGAUAACUUCAGGAAACUGGGGCUAAUACCGGAUAGGAGCUCCUGCUGCACGGUGGGGGGUGGAAAGUUUCGGCGGUUGGGGGUGGACUCGCGGCGUAUCAGCUUGUUGGUGGGGUAGUGGCUUACCAAGGCUUUGACGGGUAGCCGGCCUGGGAGGGUGACCGGCCACAUUGGGACUGAGAUACGGCCCCGACUCCUACGGGGGGCAACAGUGGGGAAUUUUGCACCAUGGGUGGGAGCCUGAUGCAGCAACGCCGUGUGCGGGAUGACGGCCUUCGGGUUGUAAACCGCUUUCGCUCAUGACGAAGCUUUGUGUGACGGUAGUGGGUAAAGAAGCACCGGCUAACUACGUG